AGAUUGAACGCUGGCGGCAUGCCUUACACAUGCAAGUCGAACGGCAGCACGGGAGCAAUCCUGGUGGCGAGUGGCGAACGGGUGAGUAAUACAUCGGAACGUGCCCAGUUGUGGGGGAUAGCCCGGCGAAAGCCGGAUUAAUACCGCAUACGACCUACGGGUGAAAGCGGGGGAUCGCAAGACCUCGCGCUAUUGGAGCGGCCGAUGUCGGAUUAGCUUGUUGGUAGGGUAAAAGCCUACCAAGGCUACGAUCCGUAGCUGGUCUGAGAGGACGACCAGCCACACUGGGACUGAGACACGGCCCAGACUCCUACGGGAGGCAGCAGUGGGGAAUUUGGACAAUGGGCGAAAGCCUGAUCCAGCCAUGCCGCGUGCCGAGGAUGGAAGGUCCUUCGGGUUGUAAACUGUCUUUUGUACGGAACGAAAGUCUCUUACCUAAUAAAGAGGAUACGAUAGAACGGUACCGUAAGAAUAAGGACACCGGACUAACGUACGUACGCCAGCCGAGCCGACGGUAA
rnacentral:rRNA from 1 species